AUGGAUACACGGAAGGUCGCGUCAGCAUCUGCAGCCGUGUUGACCAGCAAAAGAGGCACAUGUCGUAGACUAAACCAACGAGGUAUGCCCUCCUCUCCUUCCUGCAGUGAAUCGCUGGUAGCUUUUGAUGUUGUAUCCAUACUCAUGCUUAAUCUAACAGGUGAAACUGUACAGCCUGAUGCACCACAACCACCAGAGGAAAUUGCUCACAACAUCUACUUCUGGAGCGGUGAGUUCACAGUAGAUGGCAGUCCACUCAGAAGUUUCAACGACCCAGAGCAUAGCAUCAUGAAGUCUGAAUGCCCAACUGAGCUUGCGCCGGCUGAUGGGAUGUCUAAGGUGAACGUAAAUCUUGUCCGUAAAGAAGAAAAAUGUCUUGAGCCAGUCAAGCGCCCUGCCCCAUUUCAAGGAGGGGGAAGAAUUCUCGCUGCACCAUAUGAAAACUCUGCUCCUACGGAUAUCGCUCCUGCGGCUGCUGCUUCUAGCACUGCGACCACCACCGUGCGCAGGACUAUUACAGUAGAUGAUUCUUUGCUGUCAACCUUCCUCAAGAUCAGGUAUGCAGACGGCAGCCAUGUGGUUGCGCGCUUCAACACAAGCCACACGAUCAAUGACUUCGACUACACGCUCCAGGUUGGGUUCCUCCCUAAGCCGCUCGAUGAUGCGACCAAGACCAUCGAGGAAGCCGCUGUAACCAACUUGGUGAUCAUCCAGAGAGUCUAA
rnacentral:rRNA from 1 species